AGGACGAACGCUGGCGGCGUGCCUAACACAUGCAAGUCGUACGAGGACGGUCCUUCGGGACCGAGCCGAGUGGCGGACGGGUGAGUAACACGUGACCAACCUGCCUUCGAGAGGGGGAUAACCUGGGGAAACCCGGGCUAAUACCGCAUGAGGUGCCGUGGUCGCAUGGCCGUGGCAUUAAAGGGAGGCCUCUACUUGCAAGCUUCCGCUUGAAGAGGGGGGUCGCGACGUAUCAGCUAGUUGGUAGGGUAACGGCCUACCAAGGCUACGACGCGUAGCGGGUCUGAGAGGACGACCCGUCACAUUGGGACUGAGAUACGGCCCAGACUCCUACGGGAGGCAGCAGUGGGGAAUAUUGCGCAAUGGCCGAAAGGCUGACGCAGCGACGCCGCGUGUGGGAGGAAGCCCUCGGGGUGUAAACCACGUGUCGGGGGACGAACCGUCGGCGGGCGAAAUAGCCCGACCGGCUCGACGGUACCCCAAAGGAACGCACCGGCUAACUCCGUGCCAGCAGCGC
rnacentral:rRNA from 1 species